ensembl:lncRNA
AUUAUGGUUACCAUUCUCGUAAUUAGCACCAUCAUCUACAAAUCUCCCUGCCCUUUGGCGUAACACCAGCGCAUGCUAGAAAACCUCGUGGGAAGGCACCCUUCAUUCAUCUUCUCUUUACAUACAUCACUUGGCGUCCCUGACUGUUUGUCGCACAGUUUUAAAACAGUGAUCUGAGGGCCUGGCUAGAGCCAGACGGGAAUGCCUCUCGUCCCCUGACAAAUCACUGUUGAGCCCCUUUUGUCCGGGUUUACUUUGAUCUCACCUGCUUGUCAGAGGCUCAGAAAGAACUCCCGUACAGUCCCAACGCACUGCAAACAAAUUGGCAACCACUUUAUUCUUAUACCUUAAUACCUCAGAGAGCCCUUAGCAGAACCCCACAUCCCAUCCUCGGCCAUCAGCUUUCCAGCAGAACAUUGGAAGGGGAGAUUUCCGGAAUGAUUUUAUAAAUGCUGGCGUAGCGCCUCAUUGCACCUUUUCCAUUUCAUAGCCUGCGAGAUGUCAGAAGUGUUGGAUUGAUUUCUGUGGUCAAGACACGCCCAAUUUAUCUGUCAGGGUUGAACAUGCCAAAGGACACUUUUAAUUGCUUUGAACUGAUUUUAAUGCAACACCCUUAAUUCUGAUUCCAGUUCCCAAGAGACAGAUCAUCUAGCUCAUGACACACACUUUACAUAAAUCUCAGUGACGGCUCAAAGUGAUUUGCCAGCAGCACUUCUCUCUCUCUCUCCCUCUCUCUCCUGUGUUCUCUCUCUACCUCCAUUUUAAUUUCUCUCUCACACUCUCUCUAUUCCUCUCCCACACUUCGUCUUGAAACCAGAUAGGUCUUCCUUAUACCUCUGCAGCCCUUUGAUUCUUAGCUGCAGGUCUCAAAUACCUUUUGGGAGGACAGUGGAUUUCUCUGCACCUUACAACAGUAAAAUGAUUGUGGUGGCCUGUAACUGUAUAAGGCAUCAAUGGUUGUCACACUGAGUGCUCAGGGUGCGAGGGGUAGAGUGCGUUGAGCGAUGAAAACAAUCAACACAUUUUACAUUCGCCACAA